AGCAGGAGGAAGGCAUAUCUGAAAAUGCGUUCCGACGAAUUGCCGCCGAACGAAAGUGAGGGGGCGUUGCAAAAG
rnacentral:sRNA from 1 species